rnacentral:rRNA from 1 species
UACGUAGGGACCGAGCGUUGUCCGGAAUCAUUGGGCGUAAAGAGCGUGUAGGCGGCCCCUUAAGUCCUGCGUGAAAUCCUGCGGCUCAACCGCAGACGGUCGUGGGAAACUGGAGGGCUAGAGUGCGGGAGAGGAGAGUGGAAUUCCCGGUGUAGCGGUGAAAUGCGCAGAUAUCGGGAAGAACACCAAUGGCGAAGGCAGCUCGCUGGGACGGUACUGACGCUGAGACGCGAAAGCGUGGGGAGCAAACAGGG